rnacentral:rRNA from 1 species
UACGGGGGGGGUAAGCGUUGUUCGGAAUUACUGGGCGUAAAGGGCUCGUAGGCGGCCAACUAAGUCAGACGUGAAAUCCCUCAGCUUAACUGGGGAACUGCGUCUGAUACUGGAUGGCUUGGAUCCGGAAGAGGGAUGCGGAAUUCCAGGUGUAGCGGUGAAAUGCGUAGAUAUCUGGAGGAACACCGGUGGCGAAGGCGGCAUCCUGGGCCGGUAUUGACGCUGAGGAGCGAAAGCCAGGGGAGCAAAGCGGG